AAUGGGAGUUAGGGGACCGACUUUUAAAAAAUGGACAAGUAUCAACAGUCAAAAGAAUUUCCUAUUGGGGUAAAAAACGAAACAAAAAAGCCAAACAAAAGCGCUUCGGAGCUCGGUGGUGCUCUUCCUCUCUGAUUUUCGAAUUGGGGUGCAAUGAUAGCGGGGAUUCGUAUUCGGUUAAAGGGGUGGCAGCAGGCUGCAGUUGCAGUUGGUUCUGCAGUUGGGGCGUUGUUAGAUCCUCGAAGAGCAGAUCUCAUUGCUGCUUUGGGAGAGACAACGGGGAAACCAGCUUUUGAUAGGGUUCUUGAAAGGAUGAAAAAGAGCCCUGAAGGCAGAGUAAGACCUUUUUUACUUUAUUUAUUUCAAUUCAUCUUUCAGUUGAAUGCAAUGGCUUGCUCGUCAUUUAUAUAUUUGGCUUGUAAUAAUUGCAAAUUAUAUUUCUUUUAAGGGUGAUUUUGGGGAAGGGAGAUUUGGUGCCUGUUGCCACACUAGGCUGAGUUAGCCACUGAUAGGCAUUGAUCUUACGUUGCUUACAUCAGGUUACUCUAGAACUAAAUCAGAAUUGAUAUCUGGCCUAUAUGAAAUUUGGUUUACUAUGCGUUGCUGCUCACUUGUGAACCUUGGUGACAACUGAAGUCAUCAUGAACUCACGAAGAGCACCAGCUUUGAGCAUCUUCCACUCCCUUCUUACUUUGUACUGAUAGUUAAUGAGGAAAUGAAUCCCCAACUCAAUGAAAUGGUCCAACUGGUUAUAAAUGAUGGCAGUUCCAUCUUACUCCUACCAUUUACAAGCAGCCCAUUGAAGCCAAAUUCUCAGUAUUAUGAGAAGACUGAUCACCUAGUUCUUCAAGUGCCAGUUAAGGAUGUCUACUUGCUUCAAUAGACUGAGAAAUACUGCAGUUUGUACCCCUUACUAUUUGCUGCAAUUUAUUGAGCUAUUCUGUA